rnacentral:rRNA from 1 species
AGUGAACGCUGGCGGUAGGCCUAACACAUGCAAGUCGAACGGCAGCACAGUAAGAGCUUGCUCUUACGGGUGGCGAGUGGCGGACGGGUGAGGAAUACAUCGGAAUCUACUUUUUCGUAGGGGAUAACGUAGGGAAACUUACGCUAAUACCGCAUACGACCUACGGGUGAAAGCAGGGGAUCUUCGGACCUUGCGCGAUUGAAUGAGCCGAUGUCGGAUUAGCUAGUUGGCGGGGUAAAGGCCCACCAAGGCGACGAUCCGUAGCUGGUCUGAGAGGAUGAUCAGCCACACUGGAACUGAGACACGGUCCAGACUCCUACGGGAGGCAGCAGUGGGAAUAUUGGACAAUGGGCGCAAGCCUGAUCCAGCCAUACCGCGUGGGUGAAGAAGGCCUUCGGGUUGUAAAGCCCUUUUGUUGGGAAAGAAAAGCAGCAGGUUAAUACCCCGCUGUUCUGACGGUACCCAAAGAAUAAGCACCGGCUAACUUCGUG